AGUUUAUCUGUGCCAUCGGAUUUUGAAUUCGAAUUUGUAGCACUGAAUUUUUUUACAUCCAAUUUUUAACACUGAAUUUUUUUUUGCGUCUAAAUCAGACUUUGAAUUUUAAAAGCCAUCGAAUUUCUAGCACUGAAUCUUUUUUUCCUAAGACAUUUUUUUCAAUGUCUCAAAAAAUUCAGUGUAAAAAAAUUCAAUGUCUUAAAAAAUUCAGUGUAAAAAAAUUCGACAUCUCAAAAAAUUCAAUGUAAAAAAAUUCAAUGUCUAAAAAAAUUCCGUGUAAAAAAAUUCGAUGUCUCCAAAAAUUCAGUGUAAAAAUAUUCAGCGCGGACAUCCGGGGUAACCAAGGGAGAAGUAAUCGAUCCCUGUAUCAAAUCAUCCAACGUUCAGCCAAUCAAGUUACGCUCCAUUGGUCAUGUGACGUCGAAACAGGAACGUCGUGAAGUUCAAAAGUGAGCUCCGGUCAGAGCUCAGGAUGGCCCAAAACACAAAUAAUAACGCUUCGGUAAUAGGACGUGUCACAAGGCAAAUUAAGCAGCUGAGACGAGGUCUUAAAGAAACGCCAAUGUGGACACUGUUGACCCAAAGACCAGACACAGUGGCUUUGCUUUUUCCUGAAGAGGGAGCAGGAAAUUUCAGCCCUGAGGUGUGACAGCGCCCCCAGCAGGCUUCCGUGGUGACCCGCACACCCUUGCAGCCCGGCUUCUGGGCCACGAAGGUGAACUCUCGCACUGUGCAGCCGCGGAAGCCAUGCAGGGCCGUCGUCUCUGCGACGCGCAUUAGAGCCGAGCUCUGGCUCAGCAGAAGCGGCAGCAGCAGCAGCAGCAGCAGCGGUGGAAGGACGCGCAUGCUGUGGAGCAAACGCAUGCUUGUUACACAUGAACAAAGCUGCCCUCUAGUGGUCACGUGACGAAUCGCUACAACAAGGUACUUUAUAGUAAUUCAAACUUAAAAGGAGAAAAAUGUUUUAAAUGAAAUAUUCUUAACUCGGACAUUUUGACAGAUGAUCGAAUGGGUUUAUUUGGGGUCCAAGACUAAAUAGCAAAAUUGACCACAGUUUCUUUUCUACACACAAAGAAGCAGUCUAAAAUGUUUGACUUUUAGAAAGAAGAAAAAAAGCUCUCACCUUGAAUGUCACCUACUACCGGGAUCGGAAUGUGUGUGGCUCCGUCCGUGUGACAAGCAAGUGAAAUGGAAGCUGGAAGGCUUGUCUUUGUUGUUUUUUUUCCCUCCCUUUUUUUUCUGUGUGAGAAAGUCAUUAGAGAGGACGGACACGCUGACAUCAUCGUAAUUACAAUUAAAAUACCACACGAGAGACCCAA